ACAGCUCAGAUUGCAGGCUAACUCUCACCCAGAAACAUUACAUUUAUUUAACAUAAAAUAAACCAUCUGUACAUGAAUACAACUCAGAUUGGAGCGAGGACUCAUCUGGAUGAAAUGUUUCUGACUGUGUGAAGGUAGAAGGAGUGUGUGAGCUGAAGUGAAUCCAGCAGCAUGGAUCAGUGUGAGGACAGAGAGGAGGGAGUCCUUCCCUCCAAAACCUCCCCGAGGGGAAAACCUGGGAGAGAAGAAGAGAGGAGACCUGGACCUGGACCUGGACCUGGACCUGGACCUGGACCUGGACCUGGACCUGGACCUGGUCCCAGCUGUGUGUCCUUGAAGAGUGAUAGAUCAAAGGAUUGUGAUUUAGAUUUUAAAGAUACCCAACGUUCUCCCUCAGUG